rnacentral:rRNA from 1 species
CAUCGGCAGCUAUACAUGCAGUCGAGCGGACAGAAGGGAGCUUGCUCCCGGAUGUUAGCGGCGGACGGGUGAGUAACACGUGGGUAACCUGCCUGUAAGACUGGGAUAACUCCGGGAAACCGGAGCUAAUACCGGAUAGUUCCUUGAACCGCAUGGUUCAAGGAUGAAAGACGGUUUCGGCUGUCACUUACAGAUGGACCCGCGGCGCAUUAGCUAGUUGGUGGGGUAAUGGCUCACCAAGGCGACGAUGCGUAGCCGACCUGAGAGGGUGAUCGGCCACACUGGGACUGAGACACGGCCCAGACUCCUACGGGAGGCAGCAGUAGGGAAUCUUCCGCAAUGGACGAAAGUCUGACGGAGCAACGCCGCGUGAGUGAUGAAGGUUUUCGGAUCGUAAAGCUCUGUUGUUAGGGAAGAACAAGUGCGAGAGUAACUGCUCGCACCUUGACGGUACCUAACCAGAAAGCCACGGCUAACUACGUGCCAGCAGCCGCGGUAAUACGUAGGUGGCAAGCGUUGUCCGGAAUUAUUGGGCGUAAAGGGCUCGCAGGCGGUUUCUUAAGUCUGAUGUGAAAGCCCCCGGCUCAACCGGGGAGGGUCAUUGGAAACUGGGAAACUUGAGUGCAGAAGAGGAGAGUGGAAUUCCACGUGUAGCGGUGAAAUGCGUAGAGAUGUGGAGGAACACCAGUGGCGAAGGCGACUCUCUGGUCUGUAACUGACGCUGAGGAGCGAAAGCGUGGGGAGCGAACAGGAUUAGAUACCCUGGUAGUCCACGCCGUAAACGAUGAGUGCUAAGUGUUAGGGGGUUUCCGCCCCUUAGUGCUGCAGCUAACGCAUUAAGCACUCCGCCUGGGGAGUACGGUCGCAAGACUGAAACUCAAAGGAAUUGACGGGGGCCCGCACAAGCGGUGGAGCAUGUGGUUUAAUUCGAAGCAACGCGAAGAACCCUUACCAGGUCUUGACAUCCUCUGACAACCCUAGAGAUAGGGCUUUCCCUUCGGGGACAGAGUGACAGUGGUGCAUGGUUGUCGUCAGCUCGUGUCGUGAGAUGUUGGGUUAAGUCCCCGCACGAGCGCAACCAUGAUCUUAGUUUGCCAAGCAAUCCAGUGGUACCUCUAGGUGACUGCCGGUGACAAACCGGAAGGAAAGGUG